AAUAUUUUGAUUCAUUCAGUUCUUUUUGCUAGUAUCGGGCUUAACAUCAGCUCAAAAUUUAUGUUUAUUUGGCUUGGUAUAAAAAUUUAAGGAUUGUUUUUGUUAAGAGAAAUCAAAUUAAUUUACGGGGUUUGUUAAUGCAUUAUGUACGUUUUGUUCUUAGUUCUUUUUUAUGAAUUUUUUGUUAAGUGGGUUUUAAAAUUAAAAUCCUAAUAGUGAAAUUAAUUUUAAAAAUCAGUCUAAUAAUCUUUUGUGGGAAAUCAAUUGUUGAGAAUUAACAAGUCUAUUUUUGGGAUGAAAAGUAAAUUCUUUUGACGUUGGAGAAUUCAGGUACAAAGGUUGCCUGAAUUCUCUCACGUCGACCGAUGGGUGGGAAUAUUCUAGUAGAAGGGCAAUCUUUUGUUUAUGGAAAGUGGGUGGGUGCUUAUGGUAUAUAAGGAGCUCCCCCGUCGGCCGCAGCACGACUUGCAGAUCCGCCUUUAACCGAUUAGGAUCGACUCCAAGCAGACCGUUCCGUCCCCGACGACCGGACGGCCUCCCUUGCCUCCACCCUGGUCAGUUGUGCCCCAGCCAGAGGAUCCCGAGCUGCACCUGUCCCGUCCAACCUUGACGGGCGGACCCUCUCACCGGACAGCGACGUCGGACAGAAGCGGCGCCUAACCCGGACACUCCACCCCGGCUGCUACAAGUCACCCUCCACACCCGUGCCUGCAAUUAACCCAGGCCCUCCAGACGGUGACCUGCCUUGCCGUGGCUCUCAGGAGAAGACCUGGUUCCGCCCGCUGCCAUCCGUCCGACCAUCACGUCCUGCUGCGAGUCAACCACCUCCGCAGGUGUCCGGACCGUUGCUGCUGCCAGCUGACCAGCCACCUCUGAGGCAUUCGUUCCAGCUGCCUGCCGCCGCCCACAGCUACGACCCCGCUCAAGAGCGCCCUUUCUGCAACCCCUUCCCGAAAAACCAAGACUGUAUUCCCAGAAAAUUAAAUCAAAUCUCAAAUAUUUAGAAGUGUACAAUUUAUAGGGAAUAUAA